AAGGCCCUAGCUUAAUGAAAGCGUUUGAGUUGCAUUUAGGAGAUGUAGGUUAAUACCCUACGGGUCUUA
rnacentral:tRNA from 1 species